UACGUAGGGUGCGAGCGUUGUCCGGAAUUAUUGGGCGUAAAGGGCUCGUAGGCGGUUUGUCGCGUCGGGAGUGAAAACUCAGGGCUUAACCCUGAGCCUGCUUCCGAUACGGGCAGACUAGAGGUAUGCAGGGGAGAAUGGAAUUCCUGGUGUAACGGUGAAAUGCGCAGAUAUCAGGAGGAACACCGGUGGCGAAGGCGGUUCUCUGGGCAUUACCUGACGCUGAGGAGCGAAAGUGUGGGGAGCGAACAGG
rnacentral:rRNA from 1 species